CCGCACGGUAAACGAUGGACACCCGCUGUCGGCGAUACACUGUCGGCGGCCAAGCGAAAGCGUUAAGUGUCCCACCUGGGGAGUACGCCGGCAACGGUGAAACUCAAAGGAAUUGACGGGGGCCCGCACAAGCGGAGGAACAUGUGGUUUAAUUCGAUGAUACGCGAGGAACCUUACCCGGGCUUGAAAUCAGGAGGGAUGGCGUGGAGACAUGCCGGCCGGCGACGGCCUCCUGGUAGGUGCUGCAUGGUUGU
rnacentral:rRNA from 1 species